UACGUAGGAUGCAAGCGUUGUCCGGAAUUAUUGGGCGUAAAGCGUCCGCAGGUGGCAUUUCAAGUCUGUCGUCAAAGACAGGGGCUUAACCCUGGAAAGGCGGUGGAAACUGAAGCGCUAGAGUGCGGUAGGGGUAGAGGGAAUUCCCGGUGUAGCGGUGAAAUGCGUAGAGAUCGGGAAGAACAUCGGUGGCGAAAGCGCUCUACUGGACCGCAACUGACACUCAGGGACGAAAGCUAGGGGAGCGAAUGGG
rnacentral:rRNA from 1 species